AUUGAACGCUGGCGGCAUGCUUUACACAUGCAAGUCGAACGGCAGCGGGGGCUUCGGCCUGCCGGCGAGUGGCGAACGGGUGAGUAAUGCAUCGGAACGUACCCAGUCAUGGGGGAUAACGUAGCGAAAGCUACGCUAAUACCGCAUACGCCCUGAGGGGGAAAGCGGGGGAUCGCAAGACCUCGCGUGAUUGGAGCGGCCGAUGUCGGAUUAGCUAGUUGGUGGGGUAAAGGCCUACCAAGGCGACGAUCCGUAGCGGGUCUGAGAGGAUGAUCCGCCACACUGGGACUGAGACACGGCCCAGACUCCUACGGGAGGCAGCAGUGGGGAAUUUUGGACAAUGGGCGCAAGCCUGAUCCAGCCAUGCCGCGUGAGUGAAGAAGGCCUUCGGGUUGUAAAGCUCUUUCAGACGGAAAGAAAACGCCCCUGUUAAUACCGGGGGCGGAUGACGGUACUGUCAGAAGAAGCACCGGCUAACUACGUGCCAGCCGCCGCCGUAACAC
rnacentral:rRNA from 1 species